CUUCGCUUCCUGAACCGUCUGACCGAGCUGGCAGCCAGCAAGAAGGAGCGGGUCCACCUGCAGGCCGAGAUCGAGGAGGCCGGCUUCGAUGUCAGCAUCAUCAGGAAGUUCCUGUCAUCCACCAACGAGAGUGCGGCGCUUCGGGAUGAGCUUGACAGAUGGCAGCAGCAGUACCUGGACGUGGAGGAGCUGUACGCGCAGCUGCUGGCGGAGCGGGCACACUCUGCCCGGCUCCGUGUCGAGAAGGACGCUCUCCACCAGGAGGUCAAGAAGCACAUCAGCUGCAUCCAAACUCUCCGCCACAAGGAGAGCAUCCAGAACUCCCGGCUCGAGCAGCUGGAGGCGCAGGUUGGCGCCCCACCAGGCCGCGUCAGCCGUACCAGCCGCACUAGCCGCGCCAGCCGCGAGAGCCUGCCGAUUGUCGUGGCAGAGCCGCCUGUCGGCGGCCGUGCGUAUUCGAGCUUCUCGCCGCCGCCGGCGGGCGGCGCUA